rnacentral:rRNA from 1 species
CUUGCCGUAGAGGUGUUGGGUUAAUGUCCCGCUGCGAGCGCAUCCCCUGCUGGUUAGUUAUCAUUGAUCUACCCAGACUGCCAGGUCGUAAACCGUGAGGAAGUGUGGGUGAUGAUGUCAAGGUCCGCAUGUCACCUUACAUCCUGUUGCGACUCGCUGCGCUACUUUGCGCCGGGACAGACGCUGUAGCCAACCCGUGAGGUGGUAGCUAAUCCCUUGAAACCCGGUCUCAGUUCUGAUCGGUGGCUGCCUCUCGCCCUCCCUAACUCGGUGACUCUAUGAACCGCGGCUCACCACUACCGCGGAGAAUAUGUUCCUCGGUCCUU